GUCAACUCAAAUUCAAAUCGGAAAAUAAGAAGGAGAAAUGAAAUCACUGAAUUGAGAGAGAAAAAUGUGGGUCAGAAUAAAAAAAAUGCAUUUUUGAAAAGCAAACUCUGACAAUAGUUUAAAUGUGAAGGAAUGAGACUCUACACUUUUAAAGUUAAUUUUCAGUGGCAGAGAGGUCAUUGGACAGUAAAUAAACAUAUCACACUGUUAAGGAGGUACAAGAACUGGAGAGGCCAAGCUCCAACCUUUUUAACAAGAUUACUUGUGUUUUUCAGCACUUCCCAAACCCACAUCAUUCACUCCCGAGAAGAACAAAGUCAGAGCCUGGGUUAGUACACCACUAGCUCCAAGUUGCCCUCCAAGUCACACACGUGACUUGGACAUGUAUCAUCAUCACUGGAUUAAAGACCCCAUCUACCAGCAAUGUAGAGUACCCUCACUGCACAUUCUGCAGACAUUCAGGAAGGCAAUACAAGGCAAAUGGAAAAAGUUUUCUUCCAUCUUUGGCUGCUUGUGAAGAAAGAAAUAAAAAUGCUGUAUUGUCAUUGAAGAGAAACUUGAAGGUGGGAAAUGUCGAUUUGGGUGCUA